GCUCGAGCUCGCCGUCUUUUCCAGCGCACUAUCCAACCACCGGCACCCACGCGCUGCCCCUUCCCCACCCCCGUAUCCGGCCGCCGCGCCGCCUCCUUCCCUAGGAUCCGCCCGGAACCGAUGCCGCCACUGCCUGCCGCCACCAAGCGUCGACGCGCGACCCCGCCGCCUACCUUUGGUACGCCGCCACGCCUCCCCUGCCACCUAGGCUGCCCCCGGCCUCGCCCAGCUCCUCUUCCGGCGACGACCCCCUGCCACACGCGCCGCCCCCGUCCCGACAACAAAACUGCGAAAUCCAGCCAACCACCACUUCCUGAACCGCCCCGCGCUCCAUCCGGGCAACCGCCGCCUCCCCACCACGUCCCGCUCGCCUCCCGACCAACCACUGCCUCCCCAUUCCUUCGGCUUACCUGCAGCUGGGGGAGGUCUCGACCUACACCUGGUCGCGCGCGCCGCUGCCGCGAGGUACACCACCUACAGUCGGCGCUACGACAACCACCCACCCGCCGCGCCGGCCAGCCCACACCAGUACCGUCUGCAUCCCGCCGACCCUCCGGCCCCCAGCGAGCCGCUGCCCCUCCCUCUCCCGGGUCCACCAGCCCCGGCGACGCACGCCGCCGCCCACCAACCAGGAUCCCGCCGCUUCAACUUGUUCUGAACGGGAGCUGCAGUGCUGGCCGGCUCUGCUCCAUCGAGACUGCACUCAAUCACGGCAGCUCCAGCUGAACUUCAGGAAGAUAUAACUAGUGUGUAAGUUGUAGGUAGUCUGAUAAGUGGGCUAGCGCAGCUGGAUGUUGCAGCAUAGUUUCAUAUGAGAGGGUCCAGGUGUGUGGUACCGCUACUCUGAAUUUGGUACGGACAUACUUCCGCCGUCUGUAGAUCAGUUCCCGUACAGUACCAAGCCUGGAAUUGGGACCGUCCAGUUGCCCCUCAAUAGCUCCUACUUGCAGAUAGGUGGAUUCGACAUAAACGUGGGUAAACAAGCUUUUACCCACUGCAUCGCCAGCUUGGGAAAACUUGGAGAGCUAUACCGCAGUGAGAGGGGACUUCAGGUUCUGAAAUCUGGCCCCCUAUCUUUCCCGACUGUAACGAUUUGCGAAGCAAUCCGCUUCGCGCUCUGGAGGACAUGGGUGACCAGCAAUAUUGAUGAAGAACUGGAUAGUCCGGUACCCAAGGAGCACAGUAAGUUGUUCAACUACUGGGCGGACAUUUCACGUGCUGUGGCGGAAGAUGAACCUUGGGACGGGAUUGCGGCAACUGAUCUGAUGAAGAAGCUCGGAGUUGUGAAGAGAGGUUGCUAUAUCAAACCUAAAAAAGUCAAGUGGGCGCAUUCAGCAAGUGGUUCGGGAAAGAAUUGAUCCUCCUAAGGUUAGCAUUGCCAAAGUGGUUCGGGAAAGAACUGAUCCUCCUAAGGUUAGCAUUGCCAAAGUGGUUCGGGAAAGAACUGAUCCUCCUAAGGUUAGCAUUGCCAGAUAUAUGAUGGGAUAAGUCUUAACUCAUUAUGUCUAAUUAUGCCUCUUUUCUGUAAUUAAGUACAAUAUGACUUGAGACUUUUUAUUAGCCUCCUUAUAAUCAAGUAUAAUACUAGUAUGACUUGAGACUUUUAA